GAGGAAAGUUUUUUCGCUAUGGGAGAAGUUUAUUUCCGAUUAGUUUGUUGGUGGGGUAAUGGCCUACCAAGACUACGAUUGGUAGCUGGUCUGAGAGGAUGAACAGCCACACUGGAACUGAGACACGGCCCAGACUCCUACGGGAGGCUGCAGCAGGGAAUAUUGCGCAAUGAGCGAAAGCUUGACGCAGCGACACCGCGUGUGGGAUGACGGAUCUAGGUUUGUAAACCACUUUCAGGAGGGAAGAAAAUGACGGUACCUCCACAAGAAGCCCCGGCCAACUACGUGCCAGCAGCCGCGGUAAUACGUAGGGGGCGAGCGUUGUCCGGAUUUAUUGGGCGUAAAGAGCUCGUAGGCGGUUCAACAAGUCGGUCGUGAAAGUUCAGGGCUCAACCCUGAAAUGUCGAUCGAUACUGUUGUGACUAGGAUACGGUAGAGGUGAGUGGAAUUCCGAGUGUAGAGGUGAAAUUCGUAGAUAUUAGGAGGAACACCAGUGGCGAAGGCGACUCUCUGGGCCAAUACUGACGCUGAGGUUCGAAAGCAUGGGUAGCGAACAGGAUUAGAUACCCUGGUAGUCCAUGCAGUAAACGAUGAGUGCUAGAUGUUGGGAAUUUUAAUUUCCAGUAUCGCAGUUAACGCGUUAAGCACUCCGCCUGGGAAGUACGGCCGCAAGGCUAAAACUCAAAUGAAUUGACGGGGACCCGCACAAGCGGUGGAUCAUGUGGUUUAAUUCGAAGAUACGCGAAGAACCUUACCGGCCCUUGACAUACCAAUCGCGGACUUAAGAGAUUAAGUCUUUCACUUCGGGUGGAUUGGAUACAGGUGCUGCAUGGCUGUCGUCAGCUCGUGUCGUGAGAUGUUGGGUUAAGUCCCGCAACGAGCGCAACCCACGUUUUUAGUUGCCAGCAUUUAGUUGGGCACUCUAGAAAGACCGCCGGUGAUAAACCGGAGG
rnacentral:rRNA from 1 species